rnacentral:rRNA from 1 species
AUUGAACGCUGGCGGCAUGCCUUACACAUGCCAGUCGAACGGCAGCAUGAUCUAGCUUGCUAGAUUGAUGGCGAGUGGCGAACGGGUGAGUAAUACAUCGGAACGUGCCCUGUAGUGGGGGAUAACUAGUCGAAAGAUUAGCUAAUACCGCAUACGACCUGAGGGUGAAAGUGGGGGACCGCAAGGCCUCAUGCUAUAGGAGCGGCCGAUGUCUGAUUAGCUAGUUGGUGAGGUAAAGGCUCACCAAGGCGACGAUCAGUAGCUGGUCUGAGAGGACGAUCAGCCACACUGGGACUGAGACACGGCCCAGACUCCUACGGGAGGCAGCAGUGGGGAAUUCUGGACAAUGGGCGAAAGCCUGAUCCAGCAAUGCCGCGUGUGUGAAGAAGGCCUUCGGGUUGUAAAGCACUUUUGUCCGGAAAGAAAUGGCUCUGGUUAAUACCUGGGGUCGAUGACGGUACCGGAAGAAUAAGGACCGGCUAACUACGUG